rnacentral:rRNA from 1 species
CCUACGGGAGGCAGCAGUGGGGAAUAUUGCACAAUGGGGGAAACCCUGAUGCAGCGACGCCGCGUGAGUGAAGAAGUAAUUCUGGAUGUAAAGCUCUAUCAGCAGGGGAGAAAAUGACGGUACCUGAAUAAGAAGCCCCGGAUACCUACGGGCCAGCAGCCGCGGGCAUACGGAGGGGGCAAGCGGUAACCGGGUUUACUGGGGGGAAAGGGGGCGUAGACGGGAGUGCAAGGCUGGAGGGAAGGGCGGGGGCUCAACCCCCGGACUGCGCUGGAAACUGUACGGCUGGAGUGCAGGAGAGGUAAGUGGAAUUCCUAGUGUAGCGGUGAAAUGCGUAGAUAUUAGGAGGAACACCAGUGGCGAAGGCGGCUUACUGGACUGUAACUGACGUUGAGGCUCGAAAGCGUGGGGAGCAAACAGGAUUAGAUACCCCAGUAGUC